CAAGCUUUAUUUGUCAAGGAACAAACACAAUAUCACCACAGUCUAUGAAUCUAUACAUCUUUCCUCUCUCUCAGCAAUGAUUUGUCCCAUUCAGUGUCUAGGCACUACAGAGAAGCGGGCAGAUUUUUCCUAAUUAUUUCCUAUUUCCUGAUGCUAUCUCCAGUGACAGGGAUUUUAAAUGACAUCAUCCACACAUUUCACUGUGGUCCACUGUCUAUUGGUAGAUUUUAACAGACGCUCUCUUUUACGUUGAAAUGUCAGGUUACUUUCUCUAUGACGAAAAUGUCCUUAAUGCUAACAUUUAUUUUCCUGUGUUUCAGUUCCAGUAUUUUGAAGUUUCAGAGAAUUUAGUGAAUGAUGACCAAAGAAACAAAUGUUCAACACCCAUUGGGGGAAAAUUUCUAAGACAGUCAUAUGCCAAAUGUUUGCCCCAAAUAAAAUCUGUGGAAUCACAGAAAUAGUCCUUUACUUCCCAGCCAGCUGCAUCAAUGAGGUGCUGAGAUCACGGGUGGAGAGAGAGAGAUGAUACACGUGAAGAUUUAGGUCUCAUCUAUGAGAAGAACAACCGGACUGAAGAGAGAACACGCAGAAGGUUGACAAGAAGCUGACAUGAGCCCAUGUUUUCACCAUUAGAACAGGGGAGAAGACUGCGAACUCUCCAUCCAGAACCAGCUCCCGGAGAAGAACCAAGUGUGGUGUGGUCUUGUCAGCAUGUUACCUGAGCAGGAGUGUCGAGAUCACGUGGGACUCACCAGGUCAGUUUCAGAAGUUAGCACUUGAUCUGAGUCCUGAACGACAAAAAGAAACAAGGCCGUGCACAAGCCGUGUUGUGGGCGUGCUUGCCCCCAUGGAGAACAGUGGAUCUAAGAGUAGAGGACAAGGCCGGUGGCCAGAGCCUUGAAGACAAUGUGGACACUGCUCGGGGAUAGGAUAGAAAGGAAGAUGUGUGUCGUUUUCAGCUGUGUAUGACGUUUGGAUUAUUGUAAGUGUGGAAGGGUCUGGGUCAUUGGCUCUGCCCACACUACCAAAAGACAGCACAACAGCAGCAUCCAGUUCCUUGUUGCUGACUUUUGAGGAAGAUGGGGAUCUAAGGUAGGUUUGCUGGCAGGAGACUUGCUCUCAGGAACAUGAUGUCCUGCCAGAGGCUGGACUCGAGGAUGCUGCAGCACUUAGAUCUGCCCAGCAGCUGAUGACCCCUGUCCCAAGUGCUUCACAAAUGUGAUGGCAGCACAUUUCAGAAUUUUAAAAAGUGGUCCCUAGACACUGCUAUUGCUUCCCUGGCUGUGCAGGACAUUCCCAGCUAUAUUCGUGAUUUCUUUGGUAGCUGAUAAGUGAGAAUGCUACUACCAUGAAAAGAAGUCAUUGGUGAAUUUAAAAAGCCGCAGUAUGGGAGCUGGGGACGUAGGUCACGUGGUAGAAUGAUUGCCUAGAAUGCAAAUUGCACUGGGUUCUUUGACAGUCUGGGCAUGUUCGCCCUCACCGGUAAUACCAGCACUCAAGGCGUAGAGGGAGGAGGCAAGAGACGUGAGAGGCAUUACUGUUUACGUGAGUAUGGCUCCCAGCACCCAUGUCAGAAAACUCACAAGUGCCUUUAAUUCCAGGUCCAUCAGGAGUAAAUGCUUCUGCCAAUCAUGUGCAUUCUCACAGACAGACAAACAGACAGACACACAGACAGACAGACAGACAUGCAUAAUUAAAAGUAAAAGUAAAACCUAAACAACAAAAAAGAAGAAUCAGCUCCAGUCUUUCUGGAGAGAUGGUUCAGUGGUUAAGAGUGCAUUCUAUUCUUACUGAGGACGCAAGGUCUGUUUUCAGCAUCCAUUUCCAACAUCCAUGAUGGACUGUAACUCAGCUCCAGGAAGCAAUGACCCCUCCUGACCUUUGUAGGCAUCUGCAUUCAUGUGUGCAUACACACAGGAAUAGACACAACAUAAUUUUUAUUGUUACAUGAAUUUUUUCCUUAAAAAUUAUUUACAAACUAAAGUAAUUGUUGUGAAGCAUUAGAGUAAGCUGCUCAAAUGCCAGCAGUAAUGAAAACAGUUUUCAUCGGCGUUAUGUGUCACAUGCUUGCACUUCCAGCUAUUUGAACACUGGGGUUACAGGAUCAUGAGUGCUAAGAAGUCUCACAAUAGCCUGAAUAACAUAGAGAGACCCUGCCUCAAGAUGAAUCAAACAAAACCCAGAAAUAUUUGAGAAAAUGCUAAAUUUCUUAGAAUAGCAAUCAGAGAGUACAUGGUUUUUCAAGAGAUGUGGGUCAGUAUAAAAUAAAUUUUUGCCAGAAAACCAAUCAUAAAAUUACUUAGUUCUUGGGAAUUCAACAAUACACAUGUAGAAAAUGAAAUGGAAAUGUUACUGGGCCAAGAAGAAAACACAGUAGAAUGAAGAAUGUGUUUACAUUAAGAUAAAUCCUUGAGCUGGGGCGGUGUGGUAGCUUGGAAGGUCGGCGCUCUGCAGGCUGAGGAAGGAAGGUGAAGAGGCCCAGGCUGGGCUGAGCUGCACCGGGAGACUCUGUACUAAACCCACAAAGCAGAGAGCAGGACUACUAACGUUCCAUUCACUUGUGGGAAAGUCUCAGCUUAGUUCUGGCAUGGGAAGCAUCCUCUUUCCAUCGGAUGUGAGGCACAGCCCUGUGCGCCCCUGGCACAGACACAUUAAAGAUUACCAUCCCCUAAAUGGGAAGUGACUUCUUCACCACCACAUACAGCAAGCACACAGAAAAAGGUGGCUGUGACUGUACUCAGAUAGCUCAUUCUCAGGAGAUUUCCCAGCAGAGAGCCCUGUGCCUUAGGGGUAGGAAUCAGCCCAGCGACAGACACAGAAUUCCUUGUGGUGCUACAUGUGCUUUCUUGUGGUGUUUGAAAUUUUGUAUCCAGGAAGGAAAGUACUUUAAAGUGUAAACUGAGGAGAUACUUGUGCUUGGCUGGUAAAAGAGGGGCUGGGCAGACAGCUAAAUCAGUAAA